GGGGAAUAUUGGACAAUGGGGGAAACCCUGAUCCAGCAAUGCCGCGUGUGUGAAGAAGGCCUUCGGGUUGUAAAGCACUUUCAGUGGGGAGGAAGGGGCAAGCGCUAAUACCGUUUGUCAUUGACGUUACCCACAGAAGAAGCACCGGCUAACUCUGUGCCAGCAGCCGCGGUAAUACAGAGGGUGCAAGCGUUAAUCGGAAUUACUGGGCGUAAAGCGUGUGUAGGUGGUUAGAUAAGUUAGAGGUGAAAUCCCCGGGCUUAACCUGGGCACUGCGUUUAAGACUGUUUAACUAGAGUGCUGUAGAGGGUAGUGGAACUUCCAGUGUAGCGGUGAAAUGCGUAGAUAUUGGAAGGAACACCAGUGGCGAAGGCGACUACCUGGACAGACACUGACACUGAGACACGAAAGCGUGGGGAGCAAAC
rnacentral:rRNA from 1 species